UAAGAGGCUUUUAUAAAAGCCAUAAUUAUAAUUAAUCAAUUAUAA
rfam:Physcomitrella patens subsp. patens PHYPAscaffold_385 genomic scaffold, whole genome shotgun sequence.